AACGAACGCUGGCGGCAGGCCUAACACAUGCAAGUCGAGCGGACCUUUCGGGGUCAGCGGCGGACGGGUGAGUAACGCGUGGGAAUAUGCCCUUCUCUACGGAAUAGUCCUGGGAAACUGGGGGUAAUACCGUAUACGCCCUUUGGGGGAAAGAUUUAUCGGGGAAGGAUUAGCCCGCGUUGGAUUAGGUAGUUGGUGGGGUAAUGGCCUACCAAGCCGACGAUCCAUAGCUGGUUUGAGAGGAUGAUCAGCCACACUGGGACUGAGACACGGCCCAGACUCCUACGGGAGGCAGCAGUGGGGAAUCUUAGACAAUGGGGGUAACCCUGAUCUAGCCAUGCCGCGUGAGUGAUGAAGGCCUUAGGGUUGUAAAGCUCUUUCAGCUGGGAAGAUAAUGACGGUACCAGCAGAAGAAGCCCCGGCUAACUCCGU
rnacentral:rRNA from 1 species